rnacentral:rRNA from 4 species
GAGACCUCAGGUCAGGCGGGGCUACCCGCUGAAUUUAAGCAUAUCAAUAAGCGGAGGAAAAGAAACUAACAAGGAUUCCCU